AACGAACGCUGGCGGCAGGCUUAACACAUGCAAGUCGAACGCAUCCUUCGGGGUGAGUGGCAGACGGGUGAGUAACGCGUGGGAACGUGCCCUUCAGUUCGGGAUAACCCAGGGAAACUUGGGCUAAUACCGGAUACGUCCGAAAGCAGAAAAAUUUAUCGCUGAAGGAUCGGCCCGCGUCUGAUCAGCUAGUUGGUGGGGUAAUGGCCCACCAAGGCGACGAGCAGAAGCUGGUCUGAGAGGAUGAGCAGCCACAUUGGGACUGAGACACGGCCCAGACUCGUACGGGAGGAAGCAGGGGGGAAUAUUGGACAAUGGGCGGAAGCAUGAUCCCGCCAUGCCGCGUGAGUGCUGAAGGCCCUAAGGUUGUAAAGCCCUUUAGGCGGGGAAGAUAAUGACGGUACCCGCAGAAGAAGCCCCGGCUAACUUCGUGCCAGACGCCGCCGUAA
rnacentral:rRNA from 1 species